GUGUCGGUAGUGCAGCGGUUUAGCACGCGCUUCUCCGGAUAGGGUGAAAUGCGGGUUCGAAUCCCACCUGACGCA